rnacentral:rRNA from 1 species
UACGAGGGGGGCAAGCGUUGUUCGGAAUUAUUGGGCGUAAAGCGUGCGCAGGCGGUUUUGUAAGUCUGUUGUGAAAUCCCCGGGCUCAACCUGGGAAUGGCAAUGGAGACUGCAAGGCUAGAGUUUGGCAGAGGGGGGUAGAAUUCCACGUGUAGCAGUGAAAUGCGUAGAUAUGUGGAGGAACACCGAUGGCGAAGGCAGCCCCCUGGGUCAAAACUGACGCUCAUGCACGAAAGCGUGGGGAGCAAACAGG